rnacentral:rRNA from 1 species
UACGAAGGGGGCUAGCGUUGCUCGGAAUCACUGGGCGUAAAGCGCACGUAGGCGGAUCUUUAAGUCAGGGGGGAAAUCCUGGAGCUCAACUCCAGAACUGCCUUUGAUACUGGGGAUCUCGAGUCCGGGAGAGGUGAGUGGAACUCCGAGUGUAGAGGUGAAAUUCGUAGAUAUUCGGAAGAACACCAGUGGCGAAGGCGGCUCACUGGCCCGGUACUGACGCUGAGGUGCGAAAGCGUGGGGAGCAAACAGG